GGAAUAUUGGUCAAUGGGCGGAAGCCUGAACCAGCCAUGCCGCGUGAGGGAUGGAGGCCCUAUGGGUUGUAAACCUCUUUUAGCCGGGAGUAAUAAGGGCGGUGCGCCGUCCGAUGAGAGUACCGGCGGAAUAAGCAUCGGCUAACUCCGUGCCAGCAGCCGCGGUAAUACGGAGGAUGCGAGCGUUAUCCGGAUUUAUUGGGUUUAAAGGGUGCGCAGGCGGCGCGUUAAGUCAGCGGUGAAAUGCCCCGGCUCAACCGGGGAGCUGCCGUUGAUACUGGCGUGCUGGAGUGCGAACGGCGCCGGCGGAAUGUGCAAUGUAGCGGUGAAAUGCAUAGAUAUUGCACAGAACACCGAUCGCGAAGGCAGCUGGCGAGGACGCAACUGACGCUGAGGCACGAAGGCGUGGGGAUCGAACA
rnacentral:rRNA from 1 species